rnacentral:rRNA from 1 species
CCUACGGGGGGCUGCAGUGGGGAAUUUUGGACAAUGGGCGAAAGCCUGAUCCAGCAAUGCCGCGUGUGGGAAGAAGGCCUUCGGGUUGUAAACCACUUUUGUACGGAACGAAACGGUUCGCUUUAAUACAGUGGGCUAAUGACGGUACCGUAAGAAUAAGCACCGGCUAACUACGUGCCAGCAGCCGCGGUAAUACGUAGGGUGCGAGCGUUAAUCGGAAUUACUGGGCGUAAAGCGUGCGCAGGCGGUUAUAUAAGACAGUUGUGAAAUCCCCGGGCUCAACCUGGGAAUUGCAUCUGUGACUGUAUAGCUAGAGUACGGUAGAGGGGGAUGGAAUUCCGCGUGUAGCAGUGAAAUGCGUAGAUAUGCGGAGGAACACCGAUGGCGAAGGCAAUCCCCUGGACCUGUACUGACGCUCAUGCACGAAAGCGUGGGGAGCAAACAGGAUUAGAUACCCUGGUAGUC